CCUACGGGUGGCAGCAGUGAGGAAUAUUGGUCAAUGGACGAGAGUCUGAACCAGCCAAGUAGCGUGAAGGAUGACUGCCCUAUGGGUUGUAAACUUCUUUUAUAAAGGAAUAAAACGAGGCACGUGUGCCUUUUUGCAUGUACUUUAUGAAUAAGGAUGGGCUAACUCCGUGCCAGCAGCCGCGGUAAUACGGAGGAUCCGAGCGUUAUCCGGAUUUAUUGGGUUUAAAGGGAGCGUAGAUGGGUUGUUAAGUCAGUUGUGAAAGUUUGCGGCUGAACCGUAAAAUUGCAAUUGAUACUGGCAGUCUUGAGUACAGUUGAGGUAGGCGGAAUUCGUGGUGUAGCGGUGAAAUGCUUAGAUAUCACGAAGAACCCCGAUUGCGAAGGCAGCUUACUAAACUGUGACUGACAUUGAUGCUCGAAAGUGUGGGGAUCAAACAGGAUUAGAUACCCUAGUAGUC
rnacentral:rRNA from 1 species